rnacentral:tRNA from 1 species
GGGGAGAUACUCAAGCGGCCAACGAGGUCAGACUGUAAAUCUGAUGGCACUGCCUUCGGCGGUUCGAAUCCGCCUCUCCCCACCA